rnacentral:lncRNA from 1 species
CGCGCGAAAGUCCCUCCAAACUCGGUAUUUUAAUCCGAGUCCCUCACAGCACGUGCAAAACGCGCUAAAACACCUCCACCUGCAAUAUCACGCAAAACGGUACAUAAAAUAUCGCGACUUUUGCGAAAUUAUCGUUUUGCCACUACCGACCUCUCCUCGAUCAACGCGCAAUCUCUGCAGAUCCGUCCGUCAUAUUUGCGAACGGAUUGCACCAGUGUGAUUAGCACCUCGGAGACAACAAAGCUACGAUUUCGAUUCACCUCGAACGACCACGGAUUCACGACAAAAUCCAAUCUUUCAUUCCAAUAGAAGGAAUAACACAUAAAUACAUAUAA